UUACGGCCACAUCACGUUGCAAUACCGUUUCCCGUACGAUCACCGAAGUUAAGCAACGUCAAGCCUGGUUCGUAGCUAGAUGGGUAAUCGCUUGGAAAUAGCAAGUGCUGUAAG